rnacentral:rRNA from 1 species
UGGGGAAUAUUGCACAAUGGGCGCAAGCCUGAUGCAGCCAUGCCGCGUGUAUGAAGAAGGCCUUCGGGUUGUAAAGUACUUUCAGUCGGGAGGAAGGUGGUAAGGUUAAUAACCUUGGCAAUUGACGUUACCGACAGAAGAAGCACCGGCUAACUCCGUGCCAGCAGCCGCGGUAAUACGGAGGGUGCAAGCGUUAAUCGGAAUUACUGGGCGUAAAGCGCACGCAGGCGGUUGAUUGAGUCAGAUGUGAAAUCCCCGGGCUUAACCCGGGAAUUGCAGUUGAUACUGGUCAGCUAGAGUCUUGUAGAGGGGGGUAGAAUUCCAGGUGUAGCGGUGAAAUGCGUAGAGAUGUGGAGGAACACCGGUGGCGAAGGCGGCCCCCUGGACAAAGACUGACGCUCAGGUGCGAAAGCGUGGGGAGCAAACAGG